GAUGAACGCUAGCUACAGGCUUAACACAUGCAAGUCGAGGGGCAGCAUGGUCUUAGCUUGCUAAGGCCGAUGGCGACCGGCGCACGGGUGAGUAACACGUAUCCAACCUGCCGUCUACUCUUGGACAGCCUUCUGAAAGGAAGAUUAAUACAAGAUGGCAUCAUGAGUUCACAUGUUCACAUGAUUAAAGGUAUUCCGGUAGACGAUGGGGAUGCGUUCCAUUAGAUAGUAGGCGGGGUAACGGCCCACCUAGUCUUCGAUGGAUAGGGGUUCUGAGAGGAAGGUCCCCCACAUUGGAACUGGGACACGGUCCAAACUCCUACGGGAGGCAGCAGUGAGGAAUAUUGGUCAAUGGGCGAGAGCCUGAACCAGCCAAGUAGCGUGAAGGAUGACUGCCCUAUGGGUUGUAAACUUCUUUUAUAAAGGAAUAAAGUCGGGUAUGUAUACCCGUUUGCAUGUACUUUAUGAAUAAGGAUCGGCUAACUCCGUG
rnacentral:rRNA from 1 species